CCACCCCCACCCCCGCCUCCGAUCGAGUUCCGGAAGCAGAAUUCUGACAUCACAAGGGCAGUAAUUUUUAGACUCCUCACUCAUGUUAAGAAGCAACCGGAGAACGUGCUAAGCUCCUACUUCCCCCAGAAGACUGCCUGUCACGGCCCAUCACGCCGCCGACCUUUUCUUAGGCCUCACACUUGGAAGCGUUCGCUCUCAACUCACCCCUCAGAUGCAAGUUCCAUCCAGAUGAGCUGUCACCAGCCCUCACUUUCUGUAGCCCUGGGUUCCAGCCCUCCUGAAGGUUCAGCAGCCGCAUAACCUGGGUCCUUGGGGACCGUGUUUUCGACUCGGCCAUGCCAGUGUCUGGUCCACCUGCUUUCCUUGUC